rnacentral:rRNA from 1 species
UGGUAGGAGAGCGUUCUAAGGGCGUUGAAGCAUGAUCGUAAGGACAUGUGGAGCGCUUAGAAGUGAGAAUGCCGGUGUGAGUAGCGAAAGACGGGUGAGAAUCCCGUCCACCGAUUGACUAAGGUUUCCAGAGGAAGGCUCGUCCGCUCUGGGUUAGUCGGGUCCUAAGCUGAGGCCGACAGGCGUAGGCGAUGGAUAACAGGUUGAUAUUCCUGUACCACCUAUAAUCGUUUUAAUCGAUGGGGGGACGCAGUAGGAUAGGCGAAGCGUGCGAUUGGAUUGCACGUCUAAGCAGUAAGGCUGAGUAUUAGGCAAAUCCGGUACUCGUUAAGGCUGAGC